rnacentral:rRNA from 1 species
GUAGUAGGGUUGUACGAAACCCGACGGCGCAACGAAAGUGAACCGGUCUUCACGGACUGGUAGGUGGGAUCCCGGGCACUUCGCGGUGUUCGGGCGCACCACCGGCCUGUCUCGGCCGCGACGUCGGCGAGGCGGAGCAAGAGCGUACGCGUUGGGACCCGAAAGAUGGUGAACUAUGCCUGAGCAGGAUGAAGCCAGAAGAAAUUCUGGUGGAGGUCCGCA